rnacentral:rRNA from 1 species
AUACGGAGGAUCCGAGCGUUAUCCGGAUUUAUUGGGUUUAAAGGGUGCGCAGGCGGCCAUUUAAGUCAGCGGUUAAAUCGUGGGGCUCAACCCCAUUCUGCCGUUGAUACUGGGUGGCUUGAUUGCGGUCGAGGUUGGCGGAAUUCGUUGUGUAGCGGCGAAAUGCAUAGAUAUGACGAAGAACACCGAUUGCGUAGGCAGCUGACCAGAUCGCAAAUGACGCUCAUGCACGAAAGUGCGGGGAUCGAACAGGAUUAGAUACCCUGGUAGUCCGCACAGUAAACGAUGAAUACUUGUUUUCGGCGAUAUAAUGUCGGAGGCAAAGCGAAAGCGAUAAGUAUUCCACCUGGGGAGUACGCCGGCAACGGUGAAACUCAAAUGAAUUGACGGGG